rnacentral:rRNA from 1 species
UACGAAGGUGGCAAGCGUUGUUCGGGUUUACUGGGCGUACAGGGAGCGUAGGCGGUUCGGUAAGCCCUUUGUGAAAUCUCCAGGCUUAACCUGGAACAGUCGGAGGGGACUGCCGGGCUAGAGGGCGGGACAGGAGCGCGGAAUUCCCGGUGUAGCGGCGAUACGCGUAGAGAUCGGGAGGAAGGCCGGUGGCGAAGGCGGCGCUCUGGAACGUUUCUGACCCUGAGGCUCGAAAUCGUGGGAAGCAAAAAUG